GGGGGUAUAGCUCAGUGGUAGAGUGUUUGACUGCUCAUCAAGUUGUCCUUGGCUCAAAUCCAAGUGCCCCCU